AUGCUUGCCAGAGGAGGGUCUGCCUGAAUCCAUUUCAGAACUUCUUAUUAAUGAUUGUCCGUUGCUCCAACAACGAUGCAAGAAAGAAGAUGGCGGAGACUGGGAAAAGAUUGCUCACAUUAAAGAUCUAUGGCUUGUUUAAAACAAGAAAACAUAAAAGAUGAAGUCCAAGUUGGAAAUUACUACGACACCAACUCUCACAUGCCUACAUUUUCAUCAAGUGCCAAUUCUCCACAGUAUCUUUGAAGCAUUUUAAAUACAAUCUUAUUUAGUGCAAAUGUUUUAAUCUCUAGUUUACCAUUCUUUUCACACAUCAACUUCUCCUCUUUUUAGUGUUUUAAUAUCGAGAUUCUGUUUUGAAGUUGAAAUAAUUCUAAGCAUUAUUAAAGUGUAUGUUCUUGUGGAAUUAUAUUGAAAGAGGUGUGAAUGAGGAGCUGUGGUGCUUCAACAUUUUAAAAGUAGUUUGGACUUUGGAAUGAUUCAAUAUCCAUCUUCAGUAGAUUCUGUCCACAUCUGCUACAAACAGUAUUCUCAGAAGAUUGACAAUGAAUGGUUAUACAGUUUUAUACUUUAGAGAGUUAAAUCCAGUACAAAUAUAAUGUCAUAUCAAUUCAAAUCCUUUUACUUUUCUUUAAUUGUUUACAUUCUCAAAUAGCCAUAUAAUUACCAAUACCAUCCACCCCUUCUCCAUUCUCACUACCAUGCUGCAAAUGUACAGUUUUGCUCUAGUGACAGCACCUGUUAUGUAUUAUGACAUGUGUAGAGAAACACCCUAUUCAUUGGACAUAAACGCCAUAACACAAAAAUAGAGAAGGUAAACAAAAGCAGAGCAAACGAAGAAUCAUAUAGAGAGAAUGCAUGUGGUUCAACUGAAACCUAGUCUAUAUCCUUUGUCAAAAAUUCACUAUAUGAGAAAGAAUGAGAUUACAACAUGAAAUUUAUCUCUUAUGUCUCACAAGUAAAUUCCUUCUAAUUUUAUGUUUGUGGCCCCAGAGUAAUUCUGGUAAUUUUAUCCAACCCAUACUACUAAAAAGAACUAGGGAGGUCUCGAUACAACCACAUAUUAUGAACUUCAAUGUUUUCAUAAAAUGUUGUUUGAAGGAAACAAAACUGCUAAAGAGCAAAAGAAACCUUUAAUGUGGAAUACGAAAAUUCUAAACAUAAUGACAAAUUGAACCAGAAUGGAACAGCAGGUCAUUAAAAAGGUUGCUUGAAUGAAAAAGGAAAAAAAAACACAGAAACCAGAGUGAAAAUAAUACAGAUAUAAUUCCUUAGCACAGGUGGUAUUAGAUCCUCCUUGUUGGCUGUGUAAUUAAAGGGACACCUUAGGAUUCAUAAUUCAUAAGAAUACAGUGUUUAUACAAUAUACAUAAUCUUAACACAGGAUGAAAGUUGAUAUAUUCUGGACAGCAUUAGAAAAAUAUGCAGUAAUGACAGCAUCUACUGAAGAACAUAUUAUAGUUAAGAAAUUGGUAAUAGUAAGGAUGUAUGCAGUACACUAACAUUCGGUAUGUAACUACCAUAUUUUAGGAUGCAUCAAUAAAAAACUUCAUCACAUCAGCCUCAUAUAAUUAUUAAGCAAAAACAAGACAUUGCAUAAUGAAGUAAACAUGAUUAGAACUUUAAAAUGUUGAUGAGACAACAAAAUAAUUAAAAGGUGGUUAAAUUUAUUUAUAAAUAAGACUAAAAAUGAGAACGUUUAAACUUGUUAGUCUGGGGUUUUGGAUAUUCUUGUACCAUCAGAGAGUUAACUUUGGAGAGAAGGAUUCAAAACAAAUUACUAAAGACACCAUUAUACAAUUUUCAGUAUUUCAUGGAGAAUAGAUCCUAAACCGUAUUAAAUUAUGUCUUAUGAGAAGAGUCAUCAAUUAAAAAACAUGUAAACAUAAAAGAAGUCCAAGUUGGAAAUUACUAAGGCAUCGAAGCAUCCAUCAACAUUCUACAUAAGAAAUCAUCAGCCAAAAACAUUGAGGUAAUGGGUAUUUGAGUCUUCUUUAUUAUGUACUUUUUCAGACUCAUUAGUACUCAAUAUGAAACUCACUUAAAAUCCUAACAGAGAUAUUAGUUCAUGGUUUGUAGAACCAUAUAUUCUAAAAAGUACUUUUUAUUUUUGCAGAUAUAUUCAAUUCAACCAAUCUAAUUGAUAUGCGGAUAUCUAAAGAGAGUGAUGCCUAACUUUAAACCAAAGUUACACAAGUUGUUUACCCCAUUUGUAUCUGAUCAUAAAACAGAGUUAUGGUUAACAUUGUGCGUGAUUGAUUCAACACUAGCAUAUGAAGCUGUCAAUCAGGAGCUGUGGUGGUACAAGAUUUUAAAAUUGGUUUUGACUUUGGAGAUGAUUCAAAAUCCUGUAGAUAGAAAAUAGAUGUUUUGAAACUCCUACUUUGACAGCUUUAUAACAACCGUAAAAUUAUGAAAAUACUAGACAGGCUCCCUAACAUGCAGAAGGUACAAUUCAAACUUUGUAGGGAGUUUUUCUCAAGAGUAGAGGCUAUCAGAAGUAAUUAUAUCCUUCUCAGGCGACUCUUUGCAUGGACCUAAACUUGCCAUGUCUCCACAUAAUUAGUAACAUAUGCUCUAUUGGUGAAAUCAGUUAGGUUAAAUUGUAUUUCAUUCCACCCCCUCAUCAUUAUUAGUGGCAUAGUACAAAUGUUCAACAGUUUUAAUGACAAUGUAUUAUGAACUAUGAAACUUUGACCUUUUAAACUGUGUGUUUGUGUCAGACACACAUCUCUCAUAUGACACGUAUCGGUGAAAUAUUCAAUUACGAUACGAUUCUAACACAAUUAUGAAAAAAGAUUUAAUAAAAUUUUUUUAGUCUAUAAAAUGGUUUCUAAUUUAGUUAAUAUAACAGUAACUAAAUAUUUUUUUUUUCUAAAUUUAGUGUCUAUUCAAUGAUUUUCUUGUAGUAUUCAGGACAAAUAUUAAGAUCAGUUCAGCAAAUGUGUUACAUAUUCCAUAUCUUCUUUUUACAAGCACCAAGUAUACUUCAAUAAAGACAUUGCAUAAUAGUAAGACAUAUUUCAUCACUAAUAUAUCUAUCUUUUGAGGAAUGAAAGCUAGUGUGACGAUCAACAUAGUUCCAAUCAUUGAAUCACCCAACCAUUUUAGUCCCAAAUAAGAUAUUUUUCUCCUUGUUCUUCUUUCACAAUAUGCAGAACAAAGAAACAUUGAAUAAUGUCUGUCUUAGACAGACUAAUCAUAAUCGUUGUGGUGAGUUGACUUAAGUAGUUUAUAAUUGGGAUCUCAAUUUUUCUAGAAAACAUAUCUACCUACCUUGAUGAAACUAUCCCUACCAAGGUAGUUUGAGACCCAACCCCAUUAUUUUUUUAUGAAAUUAGGCAUGAUUUUCUAUUAUAAUAUAAAUUAAUUAUGAAAAAUAUGAAACGUAGUUUAUAUGUUUACUAAUAUUUAUUUCUUAUAGAUUUGAUAAGGGAGAGAGGUAUAGUAACUUCAAACUUUCAUAUACAAUUUUUCUUCUUUUUUGCUUUUUGGCCAAACGCCGUCUUCAAGAAAGUGGGCACACGUUGUGAUGUGAUGCCUGAAAUUACGGAAGAUGCUGAAACAUUGCGGUUUUAUUUUAUUCAUAACUUAGCCAUCCAAAUUCAUAGAUAUCACAUUUCAUAGUGUUGGCCAUCACUGCUUUAUUCACAUAAACUCAUUCUUAAUAAGGAACCACUUCUGCUAAAAGAAAGAACAAAAUGGGAAAUGAAUCCAUUUCAUAGUCUUUAUUCAUAAAGUAAGCCUUUGAAAAAGACUAAUUCACUAAAGUUGGUAGAAAAUAUUAUGUUAUGAAACCCACUUGCUGCUGUCGGAAUAAUCAACAAUACUCACUCAUUAACUUUUCUCAUUCCUUCAUUCACUUAAUUAAGCUGCACUUCCAAUUUUCACAACCCUUUCUUCUCUUUCAUUUUCCCACUUUCUUUCCAACCAUGCCAGUCCUAGAAACACUUGCUGGUGCUCUUUUUGGUGCUGUUCUCCAGCUCCUGUUUGACAAGCUCGAUUCUCAUCAAAUCUUGGACUACUUUCGUGGGAGAAAGCUCGAUGGGAGGCUGCUGAAAAAGUUGAAGAGGAAGCUGAUGGACAUCAAUGCUGUCAUUGAUGAUGCAGAACAAAAGCAGUUCACUAAUUCGUUGGUCAAAGAAUGGCUUGAUGAGGUCAGAGACGCUUUGUAUGAUGCGGAGGAUCUGUUGGAGCAAAUAGACUAUGAAUUCUCCAAAACUCAGUUGAAAGCUGAAUUCCAGAGCAGUGCUAUCAAGGUAAGCAGUUUUGAAUCCAAGAUCAUAGAACUCCUAGAUGAUCUAGAAUCUCUCUUAGACCAAAAACUUGUUCAAGAUUUCAAAAUUUCUAGUGGUAUUGGAUAUGGGUUGGCUAAUAAAGUGUAUGAGAAAAGAAAUGAAUCCUCAUCUUUGGUGGCUGAAGAGGUUAUCUAUGGCAGAGAGGAGGACAAAGAAAAGAUCCUUAAUUGGCUGACAUGUGACAAUGAGAACGGUAGCCAACCGUCUACACUUUCUAUUGUGGGUAUGGGCGGAUGGGUAAGACCACACUUGCUCAACAUGUAUACAACAACCCAAUCAUAGAGGCUAAAUUUGCUAUCAAAGCUUGGGUCUGCGUUUCUGAUGAAUUCGAUGUUUUCAAGUUAACUAGAGUAAUUCUUGAGGCAAUCCAUAAGUCAACUGAUGAUAGCAGAAACUUAGAAAUGGUUCAGGGACGAUUGAAACAAUCCUUGACAGGAAGGAAGUUUCUCCUGAUUUUGGAUGAUGUCUGGAAUGAAGACCGAGACCAAUGGAAAUCAUUGCAAACUCCUCUUAAAUAUGGGGUUAAGGGAAGUAAAAUUCUUGUCACAACACGCAGUAACAAAGUUGCUUCUACCUUGGAGUCAAACAAUAUACACCAACUAAAGCAAUUACAAGAAGAUCAUAGCUGGCAAGUUUUUUCUAAACAUGUAGUGCAAGAUGACAACUCUAAGUUGAAUUCUGAGUUGAAGGAGAUUGGAAUGAAGAUAGUUGAAAAAUGCCAAGGACUGCCUCUGGCCCUUGAAACAGUAGGAUCUCUUUUAAAGUCAAAGUCAUCUGUUGCAGAGUGGGAAGGUGUACUGAGAAACAACAUAUGGGACUUACCGAAAGAAAAUAGUAAAAUCAUUCCUGCUUUGUUGUUGAGUUAUUACCAUCUUCCUUCUCAUCUCAAGAGAUGUUUUGCUUAUUGUGCGUUAUUCCCCAAAGACCAUGAGUUUGACAAGGAGAAUUUAAUUCUCUCAUGGAUGGCUGAAAAUUUUCUACAAUGCUCUCAACAAAGUAAGUCUCCAGAAGAAGUAGGUGAACAAUACUUCAAUGAUCUAUUCUCAAGGUCAUUCUUUCAGCAGUCAAUGUGGUACAACAAAACAAUUUUUGUGAUGCACGACCUUCUGAAUGAUUUAGCAAAAUAUGUUUCUGGUGAAAUGUGCUACAGGUUGGGUGUUGAUAGACCAGGAAGCGUACCAAUGACUACCCGUAACUUUUCAACGGUAAAGAAUCCUGUUGAAUGUGAUGAGUAUAGGAGUUUAUGUGUUGCUAAAAGGCUACGAACAUUUUUGUCCAUAUCUACGACUUGUGGGAUGUCAAUACAAGAGUUGAUCUCCAACUUUAAGUGCUUACGACUCUUAUCUUUGGCUAAGUGUCAUAACAUAAAAGUGGUGCCUGACACUAUAGCCGAUCUUAUACAUCUCCGUUCAUUAGACCUUUCAGUUACAAACAUAGAGAGACUUCCCGACUCAAUAUGUUCACUCUCUAACUUGCAAGUGUUGAAGCUCAACAACUGUUUCUUUCUGAAGGAGUUGCCUUCGAAUUUGCAUGAACUCUCAAAUUUGCGUUGCCUUGAACUUAAGGGAACUUAUAUAAGAAAGGCUCCAGUGCUUUUAGGAAACUUGAAGAAUCUUCAAGUAUGGAUGGGUGGGUUUGAGGUCAAAAGUAGUAGUGAGUUCAGUAUUCAACAACUAGGACAACUUGAUCUUCACGGAGGGCUGUCAAUUAAAAAUCUUGAAAAUAUUGUGGAUUCCUGUGAUGCAUUAGCAGCGGAUUUGAAGAAUAAAACACAUCUUAUGAUUCUACGUUUAGAAUGGGAUUUGAAAGUGAAUAAUGAAGAUUCAAUAAAAGAAAGAGAAGUACUUGAGAAUCUGCAACCUUCCAGACAUUUGGAGCAGUUGUCAAUCAGCGGCUAUUGUGGCACACAAUUUCCAGGUUGGUUAUCUGAAAAAUUUCUAUUGAAUAUGGUGUCUUUAACCUUAAAUAACUGUAAAUAUUGUCAAUGGUUGCCUUCCCUUGGACUUUUGACAUUUCUCAAGCACUUGGAAAUUGACGGCCUUGAUCAGACAGUGAGGAUAGAUGCUGAUUUUUACGGGAAUAGCUUUCCUGCAUUUGCAUCCUUGGAAACGUUGAGGUUUAACGAUAUGAAGGAAUGGGAAGAAUGGCAAUGCAUGCCGGGUGCUUUUCCAAGUCUUGAAGAUCUUUUUGUGACGGAUUGUCCUAAACUGAAAGGGCACUUGCCAGAUCACCUACCUCAUUUAAUGUUUCUAUUUAUUGACCGGUGCGAACAACUUGUGACUUCGACUCCAAAGGCGAUAGAAAUUGAAGGUGUAAAGAUGGAGACAUCUUCGAUUAAUAUAUUAGGGCUUCUCGUAUCUGAUUCUUCUUUUGAAUCCUUGCAUAUUUAUUCUUGUCCAGGCUUGAAUAUUCCCAUAAACCAUUGCUAUGAUUUCCUUGUAGAAUUGGAUAUCAGUCAAUGUUGUCACUCUCUCACGAACUUCCCUUUGGACUUAUUCCCAAAACUCUGCCACCUUGAAUUAGGCAAGUGUCGUAACCUACAGAUGAUAUCACAGGUGCAACCUCAUGAUCAUUUGAAGAAUCUGAAAAUUAAAAAAUGCUCUGAAUUUGAAUCAUUUCCCAAUGAAGGAUUAUUUGCACCUCAACUAGAGACAUUUUUUAUUCAAGGAUUGAAGAAAUUGAAAUCAAUGCCUAAAUGCAUGUCUGUGCUCCUUCCAUCUCUUAAUGAUAUGUGCAUAUACGAUUGUCCAGCAUUGGAGUUGUCUGACGGAUGUUUUCCAUCAAAUCUUAAAGACAUGUAUCUCUUGAAUUGUUCCAAACUUGUUACCUCACUAAAGGAGGGGGUUUGGGGAACCAACCCUUCCCUAGAAUCCUUGUGUAUUGAAAAAGAGGACCUGGAGUGUUUUCCGGGUGAAGGAUUGCUCCCACUCUCUCUUACUGAGCUACGCAUAGAUGAUUGUCGAAAUCUUAAGAAACUGGAUUAUAGGGGUCUCAGUCACCUCCCCUCUCUUCGAAAAUUGGUUCUUGAAAAUUGUCCAAUACUCCAAUGCUUGCCAGAGGAGGGUCUGCCCGAAUCUAUUUCACAACUCAGCAUUAAAGACUGUCCUUUGCUCAAAGAGUGGUGCCAGAAACAAGGAGGCGAAGACUGGGAAAAGAUUGCUCACAUUAAAAGUAUACAAGUUGAUGGUGAAUAUGUAAACAUAAAAGACGAAGCAGAAAUUGGAAAUUACUAUGACACCAACUCUCACAUGCCUACAUUUUCAUCAUCAGGUGCCAAUUCUCAACAGUAUCUUUGAAACAUUUCAAAUAAUCUUAUUUAGUGCAAAUAUUUUAAUCUCUAGUUCACCACUUUCUCCACGCAUCAACUUCUUGUCUUUUUAAUGUUUUAUUAUCGAUAUUUUGUUGUUGAAGUUGAAAGAAUUGUAAGCAUUACUGAAGUGUAUGUUUUUGUGGAUUUAGAUUGAAAGAGGUGUGAACCAGGAGCUGUGGUGAUUCAACAUUUUAAAAGAGGUUUGGACGUUGGAGAUGAUUCUAUAUCUAUCUCUUUAAACAUAGCUUUAUAUCAAUUGAAAUCCUUCUACUUUCAUUUCAUUAUUUUCAUUCUCAAAUACCCAUAUCAUUAACAAUACCACCAUCCUUGUAAUUCUCAACUUUUGUGGCACUAAACCAUUUUUUUUAUUGGCUAGCAGGACACAGAUACAAAUUUUAGAAUAAAGUGGAAUGUUACAGUUAUUAUACGUAACAUGCAUAAAAAUAACAUCCAACCAACAUUCCAUCCUUCCACAACUUAUUCAUGAUUUUUGCAUCAUGAUUUUAUCUAAAUGAAGAAAGUAAAAAAAAUACAAAUAAAGAGAGAUUCAUAUUAUGUACUAUGACCUGUGUAUGAAAAAUAAUACAAGAUUACAACAUCAAAUUUAUCUCUCUAAGUCUCACAAGUAAAUUCCUUCUAAUUUUAUGUUUGUGGCCCUAGAGUAAUUCUAGUAAUUUUAUCCAACCACAUACUACUAAAAAGAACUAGGAGGUCUCGAUACAACCAUAUAUUAUGAACUUCAAGAUUUUCAUAAAAUUUUGUUGAAGAAAAAAAAAACUGCUAAAAAGUAAAAGAAAACUUUAAUGUGGAAUACGAAAAUUCUAAAAUAAUGACAAGUUUAACCAGAAUGGAACAGCAGUUCAUGAAAAAAUGAAAAAUAUUAGAAAAAUAUGUUUUUAAACAAGCGGUUCAAAGAGCAAAGCGGUGCAAAAAGAAAAAGGAACUUAGGCCGAAACAUAAAAUAAUUUAUCAUGUUUUUUCACAAUAAUUAUUUUCCUAAAUUUCUUAAUUAGAAUCUUUAAUUUCAAAGACUAACAAAAACAAACCAGUGCACUGAGCAAAUGGUGAAUAAAACUCAUGAAUACACAAUUAUAAGUCAAUAAAAUUUAUUAAAUUAGAAUGAAUUCAAGACGAAGGUACAUGCACAACCAAAAUUACAAAAAAUAUAUAGUUUUAAAAGUAUUAGUUAUAUUAUUACUAAAAUUUAUAAUAAAUAAAUAUUUUCAAUAUGUCAAAUAUGUUUUAGAUUUAUGAUAAAUAACUUAUAUUAUUAUACAACUUCUUUAUAACUUUUAAAACAUAGAAAAUCUUGUUAAAACUACAAAUAUUGGGAGUGUUAAAUGGAAAGAGGUUAAGAAAAAUGUUUAUUAAAUUAAAAACAACUAAAAAUGUUCUCCUUACACUACUAUUAGCUACAUAAUAAUAACUUAUAGAUACAAUAUUUGAUAUUUUAGAUAUUAUUUUUACUAUUUCAAAUUAAAUUAAUUUACAAUGAAUUGAGAAAACUGAAAUAUUGAAUUGGGUUAAAGUAAACAUGGACUAAUAAUAAAUAGAUAUGGUUUUGGAGAGUGAAGGAUUUGAGCAUAUAUUUUAACUCUCUAAGUAACUAAAGAAAAAAAAAAAUCUAGUUACUGUUUUUAAAUAUGAAAAAAAGGGCAACUAAAGAAAAUAAAUAAUAAACUAAAAGAAAAUUAAUUGAUAGUUAUUAUUUCGAGAAUCAUAUUUGGCAUAAAACACUAUUAUUAUUUUAUUUUCAUAAUUAGUAUUUACGUAAAAUGUAAGUUUAUAAAAAGGUAUAUAAAUAGUCUCAAUCAUUAUUUUAGUAAACUAUUCUUAAUGGUCUAUUACAUUAACUUUUUUAUUAAAAUAUGUUUAAUUUUUUAAAUCCAUAAAUAAUAAUUAAUGUUAAUAAUCUAUUUCUCCUAUAUAUGUGGAUUUAAAAAGAUUAAUAGUCGAAUAUAAUUAUUCUUUCUCCAGAAUUAGUUUAUAUAGAAAGCCUCACUCAGUCUUUGGGUGAAAGAGGAAGCAAACAACAAAUCUGAAUAAGGGUUGGAAUGAGACGCAUAGAGACGGUGAACCCAACCGUGGUUCGACGGCGUCCCUUCGGACUAGAAGGCAGCGCGUAGGAAGCACUCGCCUAAGAUGCAUGACGAAGAGGCUGUGCGUGGGGGCGCGUGAGGUAGUUUUUGCCUUCGAUAUUGCCGGAGUUUGCAGUCGCAUGGAGAGACUCUGAAAUUGUUCCUUCCAAUGCAGGUUACAUAUUUAUCUUUUCUUGUCAACUCUGCAUUGCACUCUGUGUGCAGAUGCUGUCAUGUGCAACACUCUGCUGUUUGGUAUGCUGGAAUUGGAUGUGGGGAUGUGCUUAUUUCACUUCAUUCAGUUUUGAAGCCACUGUUUUUGUGCUUUUCUGAUUGCUAGUGGUUCUGAUUGACCUAAGGCAUGUGCUAGUUUCUAGUAGUCUGCAGGUUGUUUUACUGCAUCAAUGGUUGUGUGAGUCUAGUAGGUGCUCUAUGGUGAUCACGAACCAAAAGCUUCUGUUGCAUGGAGUUCUUGACUAUUGUAUACGGGUUAUCUCUGAAGUGUUCCAUUUUAAUUUUAUUUAUUUUUUGUUGAUAAAAAAAAAAAACUCUGCAUUGCACUAAGAAUCUCUCUAUUUGUACUUUUUUACUUUCUUCAUUUGGAUGAUAAAAUCAUGAAUAUGAUGGAAUGUUGGUUGGAGAGAGUUGGAUGCUAUUUUUAUUCCUGCUACAUAUAAUAACUAUAACAUUCAACUCUAUUCUAAAAUUUGUAUCUAUGUUUAGCAAAUAAAAUUUGUUCCAGAGACUUUUUUUAGAAUGUUCUGAUAUGCUUAUCUGAAGUUAAAACUUUAAUAAUGUUGUGCUUUAAAUAUAAUGUAUGUGCUGAUAUAAGCUUAUCCUAUGAAGAAUUUCCAUUCUUGUUAAUAUGACUGGAAGCAGUCUAAAUUGAUGAGAAGACAUGAUUUGGGAGUAGGAAUGGUUAGACUGCAAUGUUUAUUUUUCAUUAUUGACCAUAUUUAGUUAAGUUUAAGCAACAGGUCUCAGCAUGGGAGGCUGGGGCAACGUAAGAGAUUUAGAUUUUGAGAAGAGGAGAGGUGACAGAAAUCCCUGGAGUACAAUUUCUUAAGUUUUGGACAAUCUUCUAUAUUUAGCUGAGUAAGAGAGAGUGGGAGCAAACUUUCAUCCAAAAACACUCCACAUCCCCUCUCCUUGAAUAGUCAAAAGUUCUACGAAAGGGUUGGUUCCCUAAAUCCCCUUUAGUGAGGCAACAAAUUUAGAGCAAUUGAAGAGACACAUUUCUUUUAGAUUUGAUGGCAAACAUCUGUCCAACAACUCCACUCCUAGACAAUCAUUUAUACACAAAAGAUAAAGAUGGAAGGAGGACAAACAUGCGUUUAGGCAUUGAUUUCAAUUUCUCCAAUCUUUCAUUCGAAAAUGUCUCUAGAUGUAGUGCAAAUAAUCUUUCAUUGGGAAAUGAUUCAAAUUCAGAGCAUACUAUAAUUCAUAGAUACUUGAAAUGAUGAUGAGGGUGCCUGUGUGAUAUCAUUUGUAAGUUACGACACUCCCCUAAUACAAGGUGGCAAAGUUUUGGGAGUAAGUUUAGAUGGAAGUUCGUGAGAGAGUCACAACAUUCAUUGAUAUCCAAUUGUACAAGGAAAUCGUAGCUAUGGUUUAUGGGAAUACUCCUACCCAGACAACAAUAAAUAGUUAACGAUUCAAUAAGAGUAUGAGAUAGGAGGUGCCUAUCAUAUCAAAAUGAAGAUGUCUCCAUCUUCACAUCUUCAAUCUACCCGGGAGUCGACGCCACAAGUUUUUCGCACCCCUAAAUAAUUAGACACCUUAAAUGCUGAAGGUGUUUUGGCAAGUGUCAUUUCAAUUUGGGACAAUCCAACACAACAAGAAGUUGAAGACUUGGAAAAGCACCCGUUAUGCAUUGUCAUUCUUUCCAUUCUUUCAAGGAUACAAAUGCUAAAGAGUUGUUCCCAAAAAAAUCAACAUCUAUCCUCACUAUUUGAUCAAGGCCGUCAAUUUUCAAAUACUUGAGAAAUGCUAAAGUCCAAGGGAAGGCAACCAUUGACUACAUUUACAAUUAUACAAUCUUAAGGACACCAGAUUCAAUAGAAAUUUAUCAGAUAACCAACCUGGAUAUUGUGUGCCACAAUAGUUAAGGAUUGACAACUGCUCCAAAUGUAUGGAAGGUUGUUUAUUCUCUAGUACUUCUCUUUCUUCUAUUGAAUCCUCAUUGUUAUGCUUCAAAUCCCAUUCUAAACUUAGCUCCACAAGAUGUGUUUUAUUUUUCAAAUCCGCUGCCAAAGCAUCACAGGGAUUCAUGAUAUUUUCAAGAUUUUAAUUGACAGCUCUCCAUGAAGAUCAAGUUGUCUUAGUUGUUGAAUACUAAACUCACUACUACUUUUGCCAACCACAAACCCACCCAUCCAUACUUGAAGAUUCUUCAACUUUCCUAAAAGCACUUGAGCCUUUCUUAAAUAAGUUCCCUUACGUUCUAGGUGACGUAACUUAGUGAACUCAUGCAAAGUCCUCGAGGGAAGCUCAUUAAAAAAUUUACAUUUGUUCAGCUUUAACACUUGCAAGUUACAGAGUGAGCACGUUGAGUCUAUAGUGUCAGGCACCUCUAUAAUGGUACCUGAAAGUUCUAAUGAACAAAGAUGUAUCAGAUUGGCUAUAGUGUUAAGCACCUCUUUUAUGUUACCACAAGAAGACAAAGAUAAGAGCGUAAGAACUUAAAGUUGGAGAUCAACUCUUGUAUUGACAUCCCACAAUUACUAGAUAUGGGCAGAAAUGUAUGUACCCUUUUAGUAUCACAUGAACUCCUGUACUCAUCACAUUCAACAACAUUCUUUAAAUUCUAAAAGUGGUGGGUUGUCUUUGUGACACUUCUUGGUCUAUCAACACCCAACCUGUAGCAAAUUUCACCAGAAACAUUUUGUGCUAAAUCAUUCAGAAGGUCAUGCAUCUUAAAACAUGUUUUGUACCCAAUUGACUGUUGAAAGAAUGACAUUGAUAAUGGAUCAUUCAAGUACUCUUCACCUACUUCUUUUGAAGACUUACUCUGCUUAGAGCAUUGUAGAAAAUUUUCAGCCGUCCACAAGAGAUUUAAGUUGUCCUUGUAAAACUCAUGGUCUUAUGGGAAUAACGCACAAUUAAGCUGGACACACGUAUCAGAAAUUGGCACUCCUAUGAUAGGACACGUAUCAGUGAAGUAUCUAAUUCAAAAAAUAUUUGUUAGAUUUCUGACAAUUCUAACACAAUUUUAAAAAGAAAAAAUAUAUAAAUUUUCUAAAAAUUUAAACUUAUUGUAUAAAUUUUUAUUAUGAUUAUAAAAUAAUAAAAAAAUUCUUUUGAACCAACCAUGAAAAGCAUCUUUCUGCUAAAAAAAAAAUCUGAAACAUAGUUGUGCACAUAAAUCUUUAUUGUCAAUUUAUAUAAUUCAUAAUUAUAUAAUAUAUAAAUUUGUGUCCUCGUGUCGUACAUUUUAGAAAUUACACAUAUCUUUGUAUCCAUAUCUGUGUUGUAUCAGUGUCCGUAUCAGUGUCUGUGCUACAUAGGUAAUAACUUAACAAUAAAGCAAGGUUGAUUUUACUAUUUUCUAUCGGUAAGUCCCAUAUGGUACUUCUCAACACAUCUUCCCACUCUGCAACAGAUGACUUUGAUUGUAAAAGAGAUCCUACUGUUUCAAGGGCCAGAGGCAGUUCUUGGCACUUUUUAACUAUCUUCCUACCAAUCUCUUUGAAUUUGAGGAAACAUUAACAAAGGCUCUAGUGAUUUUAGGAAAGUUGAAGAAUCUUCAAGUAUGUAUGGGUGGGUUUGAGGUUGGAAAAAGUAGUGUUCAACAAGUAGGACAACUUGAUCUUCACGGACAACUGUCGAUUACAAAUCUUGAAAAUAUAGUGGAUCCCCGUGACGCAUUACCAGUAGAUUUGUACAAUAAAAUACAUCUUGUGGGGCUAAAUUUAUCAUGGGAUUUUGAAGUGGACAAUGAGGUUUCAAUAAAAACAGGAGAAGUACUUGUGAAACUACAACCUGCACAUGUUAAUUAGCGGGUAUUAAUUGUGUCACACAAUUUCCAGGUUGGUUAUCUGAUAAAUAUCUAUUGAAUAUGAUGUCCUUAAAAUUAUAUAACUGUAAAUAUUGCAUUAGGUUGUCUUUCUUUGGGCUUUGGGAAUUUCUCAAGCACUUGGAAAUUAUCGACCUUGAUCAUGUAGUGAAGAUAUAUGCCGAUUUUUAUGGGAAUAGCUCUUCUGCAUUUGCAUCCUUGGAAAUGUUGACGUUUAGUGGUAUGAAGGAAUGAGAAGAAUGACAAUGCAUGACGGGUGCUUUUCCAAGUCUUAAAAAUCUUUUUAUGUCUAAUUAUCCCCAAUUAAGGAAUGUAUCUAUUCAUACCUGCGAACAACUUGGGGCUUUGACUCCCAGGGUGGUAGAAAUUGAAGGUGAGAAGAUGGAGACAUCUUCAUUUAAUGUAUUAGGGCUCCUUGGAUGUAAUACUUCUUUUGAAGUCUUGUAUAUUAAUUAUUGUCUGAGCAUGAAUAUUCCCAUAAACCAUUGCUACGAUUUCCUUGUAGAAUUGAAUAUCAACCACUCUCUCACGAACUUCCCUUUGGACUUAUUCCCAAAACUCUACGUCCUCUUUUUAGACGAAUGUCAUAACCUACAAAUGAUAUCACAGAGUCACCCUCACGGUCAUUUGAACUGUCUGUCAAUUACAAACUGCUCUGAAUUUGAAUCAUUUCCCAAUGAAGGAUUAUUUGCAAGUUAACUAAAGACAUUUCACAUUGAUGGAUUGGAGAGAUUGAAAUCAAUGCCAAAACGCAUGUCUUCCCUCCUUCCAUCUGUUACUCAUCUGGAGAUAAAUAAUUGUCUAGGAGUGGAGUUGUCUGAUAAAUGUUUGCCAUCAAAACUCAAAGAAACGAGUCUCUUGAAUUGCUCCAAACUUUGUUGCCUCACUAAAGGGGGCUUGGGGAAACAACCUUUCCAUAAAAUCCUUGUCCAUUCAAAAAGUGGAUGUGGAGUGUUUUCCGGGUGAAGAUUUGCUCCCAAGUCUCCUUCCUCAGCUACUCAUAUAUGAUUGUCCAAAUCUUAAGAAACUGGACUACAAGGUCUCUGUCACCUCUCCUCUCUCUUCAGCCAAUGUUUAUUCAAUAUUGUCCUGUACUCCAAUGUUUUUCAAAGGAGGGUCUACCCAAAUCCAUUUCAAAACUCAGCAUUGAUGGCUGCCAUUUGCUUCAUUAGCUAUGCAAGAAACAAGAAGGCGAAGACUGGAACAAGAUUGCUCACAUUAAAGAUCUAUGGGUUGAUGAAAACAAGUAAACAUAAAAGACGAAGCCCAAGUUGGAAAUUACUAUGGCACCAAUUCUCACAUGCCUACAUUUUCAUGAGGUGCCAAUUCUCCACAGUAUCUUUGAAGCAUUUCAAAUACAAUCUUAUUUAGCGCAAAUAUUUUAAUCUCUAGUUCACCACUCUCUUCACGCAUCAACUUCUCCUCUUUUUAAUGUCUUAUUAUCGAUAUUCUGUUUUGAAGUUGAAAGAAUUGUAA
rnacentral:lncRNA from 1 species